CAGAAAACCCUGCUGUCUGGAAAAAGGAAGAGGAGGACCUUCUGAGAGGAGAUAUGAGUCACUGGCAGAAGACUCCAUUCACAAACAUGACUCCCCAUUGUCUGCCUCACACACAGUGCCCUCUCCCAUUCUCCAGGAACUGGCCAUCCUCAACCAUGGGUCCCAGCUAAAACCCCGGGGCUUAGCUCACUGGACCAAAGAGCAUCUGACUGAAGCUUGCCAGUCAGAUUCUUUUCUCCUAGGAAUGUGAACUUUUAACCUGAGAGACAUAGCAGUAACAGACUGACUUCACCUGGGCCCAUAACUCAUACCAAGGAACUAAUUCAACUGCUUCUGUGACUUCCACCCAGGAACUGACUCAACACAAGAAGACAGCUUCAACCCUCUGUAAUUUCAUCCCUGGCCCAACCAAUCAGCAUCCCCCAUUCCCUAGCCCCUUGACUGCCAAACUAUCUUUGAAAAACCCUAACCUUUGAGCUUUUGGGGAGGGUGAUUUGAGUAAUAAACUCCCAUCCUU
rnacentral:lncRNA from 10 species